GAAGAAGAGUGAGGGUGAGAGGAGGAGUACACAGAGGAGGAAGAGGCAGAGGCCGAGCCAGAGGUCGAGGAAGACCUGAAGCAGGAGGAGAACGUGCACAAAGAAGAAGAGGACCACACUUAUCAAAUGACAUUUGUGCAACACUAGUGGACCAUGUUGUGAACCACGGAUUGACGCUGAGGGAGGCUGGACUGAGAGUUCAGCCAAAUCUUAGCAGAUAUACAGUGGCAUCUGUCAUAAGGACUUUUCGUCAGGAAAACAGGAUUGAGGGUCGGGAACGACAAGGAGGAAGAGGGCCCAUAUUCACGCAAGAACAAGAGAGAGAGAUAAUUAACAUGGUUUUGGCCAAUAAUGCUAUCAGGCUCAGAGAACUACAAGCCAACAUUAUCGGUGACCAUGCCAUUUUCAAUAAUGUCCAUCAGGUCUCUCAGUCAACACUGGCACGCAUCCUGAAAAGACAUCAGGUUCAAAUGAAACAACUUUAUCGAGUGCCUUUUGAGCAGAAUUCAGAGAGGGUCAAACGGCUGCGGCAUGAGUAUGUGAAGGGAGUUUUGCAGAUGGAUGUUGAGGAAAUCCUGCAUGAAUUCACAUAUAUUGAUGAGGCAGGGUUCAACCUCACAAAAGCAAGAAGGAGAGGCAGAAAUAUCAUUGGCUACAGGGCUAUAAUCAAUGUCCCAGGGCAACGUGGGGGUAACAUCACCCUUUGCGCUGCCAUUUCACAGCAUGGGGUUCUCCUCCGUCAUGCCAAAAUGGGACCUUACAACACACCUCACAUUCUCACAUUUUUGGACCGAUUGCACCACAUCGUCACAGCAGAACUGGUUUCAACACCAUCCACAGUUGACAGUACUAUACCUUCCACCAUACUCUCCGUUUCUAAACCCUAUCGAAGAGUUUUUCUCUGCAUGGCGGUGGAAGGUUUACGAUCUCCAGCCCAGGCUCAGGUAUGCUGUCUCUGCCUUGCC
rnacentral:lncRNA from 1 species